UCCCCGAUUUCCGGGGCAGUCUCCCUAGAGUUCCCGGCUUUACCCGCUGGCAACUAGGGAUAGGGGUUGCGCUCGUUGCGGGACUUAACCCAACAUCUCACGACACAAGCUGACGACAGCCAUGCACCACCUGUACACCUGCCCCGAAGGGCUGCCGUAUUUCUACGGCAUUCAGGUGCAUGUCAAGCCCUGGUAAGGUUCUUCGCGUUGCGUCGAAUUAAACCACAUGCUCCGCUGCUUGUGCGGGCCACCGUCAAUUCCUUUGAGUUUUAGCCUUGCGGCCGUACUCCCCAGGCGGGGCGCUUAAUGCGUUAGCUGCGGCACGGACAACGUGGAAUGUUGCCCACACCUAGUGCCCACCGUUUACGGCGUGGACUAC
rnacentral:misc_RNA from 1 species